UUUUGUCACUUCCUGUUCAGCCUGAAGGCGGCUGAAAACGGCUGGAAACUGUCCGACUUUACCGCAGCUUUUUGUCCCCGCCCCCAGCUGCUGCCACCUGCUCUCGUACACUUUACAGGCGAGGCGCAAUUCAUCUCAAACGAGCCUACUUUUUGACUUUAUGCCU